CCGCGGUAUUUUGACCGUGCUAAGGUAGCAUAAUCAUUAGUUUUUUAAUUGAAAGCUGGAAUGAAGGGCUGAAUGAAAAAAAAACUGUCUCUAUUUAAUUAUUAUAAAAUUUUAUUUUUAAGUUAAAAAGCUUAAAUAUUAUUAAAAGACGAGAAGACCCUAUAGAGUUUAAUAAUUUAAAUUAAUAAGAAAUUUAGAAUUAAUUUUUUUAUUAAAGUAAAUUAUUUAAUUGGGGUGAUUAAAAAAUUUAAUAAACUUUUUUUAUAAAUUUAUAUAAUUAUAUAGGUAUUUGAUCCAAAAAUUUUGAUUAUAAGAUUAAAUUACCUUAGGGAUAACAGCGUAAUUUUAUUAGAGAGUU
rnacentral:rRNA from 1 species